rnacentral:rRNA from 1 species
UACGAAGGGGGCUAGCGUUGUUCGGAAUCACUGGGCGUAAAGGGCGCGUAGGCGGCUUUUCAAGUCGGGGGUGAAAGCCUGUGGCUCAACCACAGAAUUGCCUUCGAUACUGUUAGGCUUGAGACCGGAAGAGGUGAGUGGAACUGCGAGUGUAGAGGUGAAAUUCGUAGAUAUUCGGAGGAACACCAGUGGCGAAGGCGGCUCACUGGUCCGGUACUGACGCUGAGGUGCGAAAGCGUGGGGAGCAAACAGG